rnacentral:ncRNA from 1 species
GCUACGGUGGCAACCACCCCGACGAGACGCGCCGUACCGGGACACGGAAAGACGACGCACC